GAUAGAGGUGCAAGAGACAAUCCCUAACUGACAGAUAGCCAGCUGAAACCCUGAUGAGCUUUUAGGAACAUAAGAAGUCUCCUGAAAGGAUCUUAGCUUCAUUAGAAGAACUGAAAAGGAACUCAAGUUUUCACUUUAAGAUGGCUUGAUUCCAGAUAUUAGAGAAAUCUCCAUAUUAACAUGAGACUUUAAAAUUGAUAUUUUAGUCUAGUUUGACUAUUUAUCAAAUUUGUUAUUCACAUGCACUGAGGACAACAGGAGCUUUGGAUAUGCAAGGAGUACAGGAUCAAGAUCACUUAAGCAAUCAGACCGAUCGCUUGUCAAAUUAGUGUUUGCUAGGAAUUAAAAUACAUGAUAGUAAUUCAACAUUUCUCCAACAGGGGGACUAAAAUAUCCCCUUUAGAAAUAAUUAAUCCCUAGUUUCUUGCUCUAGGUAACCACUGUUGCAGAGACUGACUCAUUUUGAGAGCAAAGUCCACCUCAAGUUUUUAGGAGACAAGUUUCCCAGUAUUACGUUGCAUGGCAAACAACCUUUACUGUCAAUUCUGCCACAGUGCACCAACAAGUAUACUGUCUAUUUGAGGACCUUACCUGAGCAUCAUCCACAUCAACCUCAAGAAACACUAUGUCUGGGAACUUCUCACAAAGACUCUAAAAUUUUAAAAACACCAAAAAAAGUGUGUUAAAAUUGCAGUUUUUAUUUCACAUAAACCUUGUUUAAGAGUGCUCUAGGAUAGUCUUAUAUAAAAGAGCCCCAUUUGGGGAAAAACAAAUCUUACCAGUUAGUAUCUUUUACUAAAAAGUAGAUGUUUCAUUUGCCAUAGAGCAAUGAUGUCACUAGCUGGAGCGUCAAGAGUUCACUUACGUGUACCAUAGAAGUCAUUUUAAGAUUUUUAGCAGUACGUUUUAGUUUCAAAUGCUUUUUACUAAGAUCUUUUAUUAGGAACUUAAGGCAUUUCCCUCAACCAUGAGGUCACAUGACAGAUUUGUCUCUAGGAUAAUUAUAUUUGCAUGUGCCUAACCCACAAUAAUUAAGUUUUAAAACCAUUAAGCAAGUUGCAAGUCAGCUGAAGAGUAAGAUUUACAGGUCUACAGAGUGAUUCAUUUCAAGGAAGAGUACAUGUAUCUCAAAACAUGUAUUCCUUUUUAAUAGCUUAAAAGAUUGUAAUGUUUCUCUUUUGACUGAAGAAAAUUGAUAAUUUGUGAAAGUUUGACUCAAUUCCUCAAGAGAAUUAGAACAAAGUUUUAAUAGAGCUGAGACUUUGGAGAGUCACAGGUGAAGUAUGUUCAUUCAUCAAAAAGGUUUACUCUUGAUAAAAUAAGCAGAUACAGUAAAACCUCAGAGUUACAAACUGACCAGUCAAGCACACACCUCAUUUGGAACCAGAAGUACGCAAUCAGGCAGCAGCAGAGACAAAAAAAAGCUAACAGUACAGUACUGUGUUAAACUAAAAAAAAGGGGAGGGGGAGCAGCCUUUUUCUUCCGCAUAGUAAAGUUUCAACGCUGUAUUCAGUAAAUGUUCUGUUUUAAAACUUUUAAGAGAACCACCAUAAUGUUUUGGUCGUAUUACAAACAGCCUCCAUUCUGGAAGUGUUCAUAACUGAGGAUCUAGUGUACCAGGAAAUUAGUACAGUUUCCCAGCUACACAUUUGUAAUAGAAUACAGCCACAUUUUACACUAAUGAAUCAUGAUUACUGGUUUUCACUGAUGGCUAUUCAGAGUUCGCAUGCAGGGUUACAGUUCUUUACUUUUCUAGUUUGGGUCAUAAGUGUUAAUAUCAUUUCAGCCUAUUCUAUCAUUUCAAUUGUUAGAAUGUUAUUUGAGAUUUAGACUUCAAAAUCAUUUGACAAGGCUGUCUUAUGGCAGCAAAGACAAUGAAUUUUAUUUCAAUCUUCUUGACCUUGGUCAGUUUGUUAUGAUCCCCACAAUAAGUGGUGAAGAGCAUUUCACUUUUUUGGAGGGAGAAUGCUUUAAAAAGAGUGGUGAAGAAUUGUUUGGACAAUAUUAGGAAUAUCACUGUUUUGGUUAGUCACGCGUAGGUCACAAUUGAGGUUUUCUUGCAAGUCUUCCUGCAUGAGUAUCAACUAACAUAAGACAGUUCAAACAUCCAUAGUGACCUAGUUUUAAUAGUAAGAUAGCAUUGCACUAGUCAUGCCUAAGCUGUAAAAACUAGCAGAGUAUUGAGUUUGGAAUUGUUACUUACAUGAAAAAAAGGUUUGAUCACUUUGCAUGGUCCACACCAUGUGGCUGAGAAGUCAACAACUACAAGCUUAUCACCAGCAGAUUUCAAUUCAGACUUAAAUUCUUCC